GACGAAGGGGGCUAGCGUUGUUCGGAAUUACUGGGCGUAAAGCGCGUGUAGGCGGUUGCCCAAGUCGGGUGUGAAAGCCUUGAGCUCAACUCAAGAAAUGCACUCGGUACUGGGUGACUAGAGGACCGGAGAGGAUAGUGGAAUUCCCAGUGUAGUGGUGAAAUACGUAGAGAUUGGGAAGAACACCAGUGGCGAAGGCGGCUAUCUGGACGGUUUCUGACGCUAAGACGCGAAAGCGUGGGGAGCGAACAGG
rnacentral:rRNA from 1 species